AUCACACAUGAAGAGAGGACUGACGUCCCGCCAACCUGCCCGGACCGGCAAGGUGGUUCCCCUCCCGGGGCAUGCGACCAAAGGGUAACCAAGUGUCCAUGA
rnacentral:ncRNA from 10 species